CACGUAGGAGGCGAGCGUUGUCCGGAAUCAUUGGGCGUAAAGAGCGCGCAGGCGGCUUGGCAAGUCGGGUGUGAAAUCCCGGGGCUCAACCCCGGGACUGCAUUCGAUACUGUCAGGCUAGAGGUAGGUAGGGGAGAUCGGAAUUCCUGGUGUAGCGGUGAAAUGCGCAGAUAUCAGGAGGAACACCGGUGGCGAAGGCGGAUCUCUGGGCCUUACCUGACGCUCAGGCGCGAAAGCGUGGGGAGCGAUCCGG
rnacentral:rRNA from 1 species